GAGGGCGGUUAUUGCGGUGGUUGUCACCUCUUACCAUUCCGAACAGAGAAGUUAAGCCCACCUGCGCCAAUGGUACUACAAUUUUGUGGGAGAGUAGGUCGCCGCCCACC
rnacentral:rRNA from 1 species